rnacentral:misc_RNA from 1 species
GAUGAAGAACGCAGCGAAAUGCGAUAAGUAAUGUGAAUUGCAGAAUUCAGUGAAUCAUCGAAUCUUUGAACGCACAUUGCGCCCGCCAGUAUUCUGGCGGGCAUGCCUGUUCGAGCGUCAUUUCAACCCUCAAGCCCCCGGGCUUGGUGUUGGGGAUCGGCGUGCCCUCGCGGCGCGCCGUCCCCUAAAUCUAGUGGCGGUCUCGCUGUAGCUUCCUCUGCGUAGUAGCAACACUCGCACUGGAUCGCAGCGCGGCCACGCCGUUAAACCCCCCACUUCUGAAAGUUUGACCUCGGAUCAGGUAGGAAUACCCGCUGAACUUAAGCACAUCAAUAAGCGGAGGA